UACGGGGGGAGCAAGCGUUGUUCGGAUUCAUUGGGCGUAAAGGGUGCGUAGGCGGUCGGGUAAGUCGGAUGUGAAAUCCCAGGGCUCAACCCUGGAACUGCAUUCGAUACUGCCUGGCUAGGGUACUGGAGAGGAGACUGGAAUUUACGGUGUAGCAGUGAAAUGCGUAGAUAUCGUAAGGAAGACCAGUGGCGAAGGCGAGUCUCUGGACAGUUACCGACGCUGAGGCACGAAGGUCAGGGGAGCAAACGGG
rnacentral:rRNA from 1 species